CAUGCCUAAAGGGCGUCAUUAGUGCCAGGACUGAGAUCUGGGUCAGGACGUGCAGAAGAAGUUCAACCGCCUCGAUUUAGCUUCUUCUUCUAGAGCCGCUCAUCCUCGAUGACCAGAAGUCGCUGAAAACUACGUGAGGUUGGCAUGGAGACGGAUCGGUUCGUACCUGGACUCGUCCUGAUGAGGCUGUCUGUCACGUCUCAGCAGCAGCAGCAGCAGCAGCAGCAGGGCGGCGCGUCCCGCUCAAAUGGGAGCGCAGCAGCCAGCGCUGGGAUAUAUACUGACUGGGAGCUCUGCCCUCAGGCGCCCCCCGCUGCAGCGGCGCCCCCCGCUGCAGCGGCGCCCCCCGCUGCAGCGGCGCCCCCCGCUGCAGCGCCGCAUGUGGCCACUGCCUGGCACUCGGACGCAGAACCUACAGAUUAUUGGCCAGGGUUCGUUUAGGGAAAACGCAGAUUAGAUCAGAGUUUUCAUCUGGGAUUCACAUGAGAAAGCAAAAGAAAAGAGUUUAAAAGUCUUAUUAUUCAACUUUAACCUGUAAAUUUUCUGACAUCAUUACAUUUUUGAGCAACAAUAAACUAACGCAGGGUCACAGAGAUGAACUAAAACAUUUAAUUUUCAUAUAUUGUGAAUAUUCUGUUGUCUUUUAAUACACAAAUACACAUAAACAUUGUGUAAAAUAAAAAUACCUUCUGUAGUA